rnacentral:rRNA from 1 species
AGAGUUUGAUCCUGGCUCAGGAUGAACGCUAGCGGCAGGCUUAAUACAUGCAAGUCGAGGGGCAGCACAGUAUAGCAAUAUAUGGGUGGCGACCGGCAAACGGGUGCGUAACACGUACGCAACUUACCCUUUACUGGGAGAUAGCCCAGGGAAACUUGGAUUAAUAUCCCAUAUUGCAGAGAAUCGGCAUCGGUUUUCUGCCAAGGUUCCGACGGUAAAGGAUGGGCGUGCGGUUGAUUAGGUAGUUGGCGGGGUAACGGCCCACCAAGCCUACGAUCAAUAGCUGAUGUGAGAGCAUGAUCAGCCACACGGGCACUGAGACACGGGCCCGACUCCUACGGGAGGCAGCAGUAAGGAAUAUUGGGCAAUGGACGCAAGUCUGACCCAGCCAUGCCGCGUGAAGGAUGAAGGCCCUCUGGGUUGUAAACUUCUUUUAUCUGGGGCGAAAGGCGGUUAUUCUUAGCCGUUUGACAGUACCAGAGGAAUAAGCACCGGCUAACUCCGUGCCAGCAGCCGCGGUAAUACGGAGGGUGCAAGCGUUAUCCGGAUUCACUGGGUUUAAAGGGUGCGUANGUGGAUCUGUAAGUC